AGAGUUCAAUCCUAGCUCAGGAUGAACACUGGUGGCAUGCUUCACACAUGCAAGUCGGACAAGAAGUGGUGUUUCCAGUGGUGGUGGGUGAGUAACGUGUAAGAAUCUGCCAUUGGGAAGGGAACAACAGCUGGAAACGGCUAUUAAUACCCCUUAGGCUGAGGAGCAAAAUGAGGAAUCUGCUUGAGGAGGGGCUUUCGUCUGAUUAGCUAGUUGGUGAGGCAAUAGCUUACCAAGGCAAUGAUCAAUAGCUAGUCCGAGAGGAUGAUCAGCCACACUGGGACUAAGACAUUGCCCAGACUCCUACGGGAGGCAGCAGUGGGGAAUUUUUCGUAAUAGGCAAAAGCCUGACAGAGCAAUACUGCGUGGAAGUAGAAGGCCUACGGGUCGUGAACUUCUUUUCUCGAAGAAGAAACAAUGAUGGUAUCUAGGGAAUAAACAUCAUUAACUCUAUGCCAAUAGCCACGGUAAUAAGUGUUAUCCGGAAUGAUUAGGCAUAAAGCCUCUAUAAGUGGCUUUUUAAGUCUGCUGACAAAUCCAAGCCUCAACCUUGGAUAGGUGGUCGAAAAUACCAUGCUGGAGUAUAGUAGGGGCAGAUGGAAUUUUUAAUGGAGCAGUUAAAUGCCUAGAGAUCGAAAAGAACACCAAUGGUGAAAGCACUCUGCUGAGCCAACACUGACACUGAGAGACGAAAGCUAGGGGAGCGAAUGGGAUUAGAUACCCCAGUUGUCCUAGCCGUAAAUGAUGAAUACUAGGCGCUGUGUAUAUUGGCCCGUGCAGUGUUGUAGCUAACACGUUAAGUAUCCCACCUAGGGAGUAUGUUCACAAGAAUGAAGCUUAAAGGAAUUGAUGGGGCCCCACACAAGAGGUGGAGCAUGUGGUUUAAUUCGAUGCAGAGCGAAGAACCUUACCAGGACUUGACAUUCCACGAAUCCUUUAGAAAGAGAGGGGUGCAUGGCUAUCGUCAGCUCAUGCCGUAAGGUGUUGGGUUAAGUCCCAUAAUGAGCGCAAACUUUGUGUUUAGUUGCCAUCGUUGAGUUUGGAAUCUUAAGCAAAUUGUCAGUGAUAAGCUAGAGGAAAGUGAGGAUGAUGUCAAGUCAUCAUGCCCCUUAUGCCCUGGGAGACAUAGGUGCUAUAAUGGCUGGGAUCGCGAUCUCGCAAGGGUGAGUUAACUUCAAAAACCCAUCAUUAGUUCAUAUUGUAGGCUGCAAAUUGUCUACAUGAGGCCUGAAUCUCUAGUAAUUGCUAUCAGCCAUAUGGCAGUGAAUUUUUUCCUGGGCCUUGUACACACCACCCAUCAUAGUAUGGAAGUUGGCCAUGCCCAAAGUCGUUACCUUAAAGACAAGGAGGGGGAUGCCCAAGGCAGGGCUAGUGAUUGAAGUGAAGUCAUAACAAGGUAGCAUACUAGAAGGUGCGGCUG
rnacentral:rRNA from 1 species